GUGGAGAUGGCUCAGUGGUUAAGAGCACUGACUGUUCUUCCAGAGGUCCUGAGUUCAAGUCCCAGCAACCACA
rnacentral:tRNA from 1 species